UUCCUACGGGAGGCAGCAGUGAGGAAUAUUGGUCAAUGGGCGGAAGCCUGAACCAGCCAAGUCGCGUGAGGGAAGACGGCCCUACGGGUUGUAAACAUCUUUUGCCGGGGAGCAAUGCCCAGCUCGCGAGCUGGGAAGGAGAGUACCCGGAGAAAAAGCAUCAGCUAACUCCGUGCCAGCAGCCGCGGUAAUACGGAGGAUGCGAGCGUUAUCCGGAUUUAUUGGGUUUAAAGGGUGCGCAGGCGGUCUGUUAAGUCAGCGGUCAAAGCCCGGGGCUCAACCCCGGCCCGCCGUUGAAACUGGCA
rnacentral:rRNA from 1 species